UGCUCUUCGCCCAUAUCGUCUCCCUCCUAUCCCUCCCAACCGCGUGUGUGCGUGUGUCUGCGUGACGAGCGGAGGACCUAAGAAGGAAGAAAAGGAGAGAGAGCAGGAUAAGGCCUUUGGUGCCGUCACGUUCGCCAUGCAAACGUGUGGACUGGUGCGCUUACAGUUUCUACUCAACACACCGUUCGACCACCAACCCAUCGCCGUCCCUGCCGUGCCAACGGCGCGAUCCGUCAUUGAAGACAUCAUCCCGCCCAGGUCAGAGCUUAGCCGGGUGGAUGAAGUAGGAUUGCUUUUGAAGCACCUCCCGGCUGCCUGCGACAAGGCGAAGCAGCUUCAGCAUGAUGCCCAGUACGCCAGCCGCUACUACCGCGCCCGCUUCAGCCGCGGCUCCCAACUGCAAUGGAAGCACGCGACACAGGUCGCUGCUGCGUCUGGUCCCGCCGAGGUGCAGCAGUGGGCACGCAGCCGCCUGUACCCAAUCAGCGAUCCCUUUCAGUGCGAGUAGAAAAGACUCGUGCUCCAAGCUUUUCAACAGCGCCCCACAGGACGGACCCCGACAGUGCUCCCCUGCUCGUCAUGCAUGCAUGGACGCGCCUUUUACUGCCGCGGCUGUUGGGGCACUACGGAAGACGGACGUGUAAAGCAGAAAAGAGUCAUUCGCGCUGGCGGGAUGCCCUGACUCGCUUCUUUCUGAACCCCUCCCCCGUUCCCCAAUCUGUCUCCCUCGGCAAGACGGGUACUGUGCAGGGGAGGAGGGAGUAGCUAGCCACGCUCACGC
rnacentral:misc_RNA from 1 species